rnacentral:rRNA from 1 species
UUCGUAGGUGGCCACUUAAGUCAGACGUGAAAUCCCUCAGCUUAACUGGGGAACUGCGUCUGAUACUGAGUGGCUUGAGUGCAGGAGAGGAAUGCGGAAUUCCAGGUGUAGCGGUGAAAUGCGUAGAUAUCUGGAGGAACACCGGUGGCGAAGGCGGCAUUCUGGACUGUAACUGACACUGAGGAACGAAAGCCAGGGGAGCGAAAACG